rnacentral:rRNA from 1 species
AUUGAACGCUGGCGGCAUGCUUUACACAUGCAAGUCGAACGGCAGCGCGGGCUUCGGCCUGGCGGCGAGUGGCGAACGGGUGAGUAAUGCAUCGGAACGUGCCCAGUAGUGGGGGAUAGCCCGGCGAAAGCCGGAUUAAUACCGCAUACGACCUGAGGGUGAAAGCGGGGGACCGAAAGGCCUCGCGCUAUUGGAGCGGCCGAUGUCGGAUUAGCUAGUUGGUGGGGUAAAGGCUUACCAAGGCGACGAUCCGUAGCUGGUCUGAGAGGACGACCAGCCACACGGGGACUGAGACACGGCCCAGACUCCUACGGGAGGCAGCAGUGGGGAAUUUUGGACAAAGGGGGCAACCCUGAUCCAGCCAUGCCGCGUGCGGGAAGAAGGCCUUCGGGUUGUAAACCGCUUUUGUUCGGGAAGAAAUCCUCUGGGCUAAUACCCCGGGGGGAUGACGGUACCGGAAGAAUAAGCACCGGCUAACUACGUG